rnacentral:rRNA from 1 species
CACGCCGUAAACGAUGGAUGCUAGCUGUUAGGAGUAUCGACCCUUCUAGUAGCGAAGCUAACGCGUUAAGCAUCCCGCCUGGGGAGUACGGUCGCAAGAUUAAAACUCAAAGGAAUUGACGGGGACCCGCACAAGUGGUGGAGCGUGUUCUUUAAUUCGAUGUUAAGCGAAGAACCUUACCAGGACUUGACAUCCUUGGAAUCUUUGGGAAACCAGAGAGUGCCUUUUGGAGCCAAGUGACAGGUGU